rnacentral:rRNA from 1 species
AUUGAACGCUGGCGGCAGGCUUAACACAUGCAAGUCGAACGAGUGGCGGACGGGUGAGUAAUGCUUGGGAAUCUAGCUGAUGGAGGGGGAUAACUACGGGAAACUGUAGAUAAUACCGCGUACCAUAGGAUGAGCCCAGGUGGGAUUAGGUAGUUGGUGAGGUAAUGGCUCACCAAGCCGACGAUCUCUAGCUGGUCUGAGAGGAUGACCAGCCACACUGGGAAUGAGACACGGCCCAGACUCCGACGGGAGGCAGCAGUGGGGAAUAUUGCGCAAUGGGGGCAACCUGACGCAGCCAUGCCGCGUGAAUGAAGAAGGCCUUCGGGUUGUAAAGCUCUUUCAGUAGGGAGGCGUUAACUGCAGAAGAAGCACCGGCUAACUCCGUGCCAGCAGCCGCGGUAAUUC